rnacentral:rRNA from 1 species
AAGCCAGACUCCUACGGGAGGCAGCAGUGGGGGAUAUUGCACAAUGGGGGGAACCCUGAUGCAGCGACGCCGCGUGGGUGAAGAAGCGCCUCGGCGCGUAAAGCCCUGUCAGCAGGGAAGAAAAUGACGGUACCUGAAGAAGAAGCCCCGGCUAACUACGUGCCAGCAGCCGCGGUAAUACGUAGGGGGCAAGCGUUAUCCGGAUUUACUGGGUGUAAAGGGGGCGCAGACGGCGAUGCAAGCCAGGAGUGAAAGCCCGGGGCCCAACCCCGGGACUGCUCUUGGAACUGCGUGGCUGGAGUGCAGGAGGGGCGGGCGGAAUUCCUGGUGUAGCGGUGAAAUGCGUAGAUAUCAGGAGGAACACCGGUGGCGAAGGCGGCCUGCUGGACUGCAACUGACGUUGAGGCCCGAAAGCGUGGGGAGCAAACAGGAUUAGAUACCCCAGUA